CUUCGGAGGAGUUAGCGAAAUUCCAAUGUGUGCGGAUCGGCAAAAAAUGCGAAAUAGCCCUUUAACGGUACAUUUGACAGAUACGCCCGCACUGACUUUUUUGUAGGUCUUAUUGAGAUACACAUGUGUGUCAAAUUUUGUGUCAUUUUGACAAAGCGUACAGGCGUCAGGUGAAUUUUCACCAUAGGGGGCGCUAUGGAGCCAUUUUUCAUUUUUUUGUUUGGGCGACUUCAGAAUAUCGAAUUUUUCACCAGGCCCGGUUGUCCUGCCAAAUUUCCUGAGUUUUCGCCAGUGGGAAGUGGGCCAUUUUCCAGUUUAAAGCGGAGGAAAAAUAACGAAAGAAGAAUCCAUCAGGAACAAGAGGGCUCUCGCAGCUGCUUAGCAGCUACGCUCGGGCCCUAAUAAUAACAAAAGAAGAAUCCAUCAGGAACAAGAGGGCUCUCGCAGCUGCUUAGCAGCUACGCUCGGGCCCUAAAGAAAGAAGAAUCCAUCAGGAAUAAUAGGGCUCUCGCAGCUGCUUAGCAGCUACGCUCGGGCCCUAAAGAACUAGGGCCCCGUUGGGGCACUGGCGGGCCCGAGCCGUGUCGCAACCCCCCCCCCCCCCCCCCCCAAC